rnacentral:tRNA from 1 species
GAUGAGAUGGCUCAGAGGGUAAGAGCUCUUGCUAAGGACCUGGGUUCAAUUCCCAGCUUCAACA